rnacentral:rRNA from 1 species
GAGACCGCGGACGGCUCAUUAAAUCAGUCGUUGUCCAAAUGGGUCAGUCGCAUUUACGUGCUUACUUGGAUAACUGUGGUAAUUCCAGAGCUAAUACAUGCAACCUGAUAUCCUGACGAGUUAGAUUCGUUCGCUCUGACGGAUGCUUUUAUUAGACCAAUCCGAAGCAUGCUUGUGUAUACGCACUCGCAUCUAAAAUGGUGACUCUGAAUAACACACCCACGGUUAUUGACAAGCGCACACGUGCUCUCCGGGCAACCGAAGGCACGGCGCUACCACUUUCGAGUGUCUGACCUAUCAGCUAUCAAUCGUUCGUUAUGUGCGACCGAUGGCGUUGACGGGUAACGGGGAAUCAGGGUUCGAUUCCGGAGAGGCAGCCUGAGAAACGGCUACCACGUCCAAGGACGGCAGCAGGCACGCAAAUUACCCAAUCCCAGCAAAUGCUUGGGGAGGUAGUGACGAGACAUAACGAUGCGGGCGCCUCUUUCGAGGCCUCGCAAUCGGAAUGAGCGUUUGUCUAAAACUCCCGACGAGAACCUACUGAAGGGCAAGUCUGGUGCCAGCAGCCGCGGUAAUUCCAGCUUCAGUGGCGUAUGCUAAAGUUGCUGCGGUUAAAAGGUUCGCAGUUGGAUCUCGAUCUCGUUGUCGCACGCUCGGGUACCCACCCGCAUGCGUGCGACUCAAACCCAAAGUAUCAGUUAUGACCAUUGUUGUGUGUGCGCCGCUCCCGCGUUCUUCGACGCGGGACUUGGUACCAUGACUUGAGACGGUCGUUAACUGAGUGGCAUCUUGAGCAAACCAGAGAUUCUCAAAGCAGUCGUGGCUUGUGCUGUGCCGCGCGCUUAACGGUGCGUGGUGCAGUGCGUGUGUAUUGGUACGUUGCCUUGCAACACCAAGAAAUGUCGGAAUAUGAAGUCUCAAUCCCGUGAGUUUUGACUUGUCAUUGCUUGCGGGUGGUUGGCAUAUUGUGGGUGCGUGCGGUGCAUGCUUCCUUGGGGAUGAGAUUGUGUUCGCACUUUCAACACUCCCUUUAAGGUUGCGGCUCGUGCUUCGGUAUUGCCAGCCGAGACUUAAUGCAUAACGGAGAUCGCUGAGGUCAGAGGUACUUGAUGGCAAGAGGUGAAAUUCUGUGAUUUGGUGAUGACCGUCGGAGGCGUAAGCUUUUGACAAUAAGGCCCUUGUCAAUCAUGGACGAAAGUCAGAGGCUCGAAGGCGAUCAGAUACCGCCCUAGUUUUGACCGUAAACGAUGCCAACCAUCGAUCCGCCGUAGUACCAUUGUAUCGGGCUCGGCGGGGAGUUCUCCUCUCACGGGAAACCAGAGUCUCUGGGUUCCGGGGGGAGUAUGGUUGCAAAACUGAA